CGGUGCCCACGCAGAGGAUCCUCUGCGAGAUUCCCCCUCCUUUCCCCAAAGAUUACUAAAAGCGGUAAUCUUACCCUAAAGUCUCAGAAUUUUUAAUAUAGAGAAAUUUAAAAUCUUAGGAAACUCCUCUUUUUUUUUUUUUCAGAUUUCUGUUUUAGAUUUAGGUCCCUAAGUGGGACCUAACUAGGAGAAACAGAGCAGCUACUCCUGCCACCAUGAACUCACAGGAAUGGCCCAGCUGGCAGCAGGCUUUCUUCAGGUACUGGAAUGCUCAAUUAGGUCACCCUGAAGUCUUCUCCAGGCUGAACAAUCCCAAUCCUCUCAGCCUUUCCUGGAAGAGACAUUGCCAUUGAAUACUGAGGAAAAAAGUUAUCAAGUACCUCAACCUUCUCCUUGUAACCUGUUUUCCAGCAUUGUGUACUGGACACAGUUUUCUGGUUCACAUGGUGUCUCUUCAUCCAGGUUUGGACAAGGCAUUCCAUUAUUGGCAGGCUGAAGAAGCACAAAACGAGUUCUGAUCUUGGUCC